GACGAACGCUGGCGGCAUGCCUAAUACAUGCAAGUCGAGCGAAUGAUGAAGAAGCUUGCUUCUUCUGAUUUAGCGGCGGGCGGGUGAGUAACACGUGGGCAACCUGCCCUGUAGAUUGGGAUAACUCCGGGAAACCGGGGCUAAUACCGAAUAAUCCAUUCUCUCUCAUGUGAGAAUGUUAAAAGACGGUUUCGGCUGUCACUACAGGAUGGGCCCGCGGCGCAUUAGCUAGUUGGUGAGGUAACGGCUCACCAAGGCGACGAUGCGUAGCCGACCUGAGAGGGUGAUCGGCCACACUGGGACUGAGACACGGCCCAGACUCCUACGGGAGCAGCAGUAGGGAAUCUUCCACAAUGGACGAAAGUCUGAUGGAGCAAUGCCGCGUGAGUGAAGAAGGUUUUCGAUCGUAAAACUCUGUUGUGAGGAAGAACAAGUACGAGAGUAACUGCUCGUACCUUGACGGUACCUCAUUAGAAAGCCACGGCUAAC
rnacentral:rRNA from 1 species